rnacentral:rRNA from 1 species
UACGUAGGGUGCGAGCGUUAUCCGGAAUUACUGGGCGUAAAGCGUGCGCAGGCGGUUUUGUAAGUCCGAUGUGAAAGCCCCGGGCUUAACCUGGGAAUGGCAUUUGGGACUGCAAGGCUUGAGUGCGGCAGAGGAGACUGGAAUUCCUGGUGUAGCAGUGAAAUGCGUAGAUAUCAGGAGGAAUACCGAUGGCGAAGGCAGGUCUCUGGGCUGACACUGACGCUCAUGCACGAAAGCGUGGGGAGCAAACAGG